CCCCGAGAUCAGUCACCUCCCACCAGGCCCCUCCCCAACCGUGGGAAUGACAGUUCAACAUGAGAUGGGGCGACCCAGACCCAGACCACAUCAGUGGCUUUCAGGAGAUGUGACGAGCAAUGCAGGCACGGCCCCCUUGGAAUAAAGUGUCCGCGGGAAGCGCUCUGUGAACUCUGCGGUACUCACCAUGCGCUGGGCGCGUUUUCAGCGGGGACCACACUCUGGGGAAGCCUGUGUCGGGGAGUGAGCCCCGCUCUGUCUGGGCAGAGGCAGCCCCAGCACCGCAGAGGGCGUUCCUUAGGUCCGGACGGGGGCACAGUCAGGUGUGAAUUCUGGGCCCUGAGCUGGGGCCAUCAUCUCCUUCCCUCUGAGAGCGAGCACAGGGGCCACUGCAGGUGCCGCUGGAGUGCUGGAGUGCUGUGCUGUGCUGUGCCGUGCCGUGCCGCGCCGCGCCGCGCCGCGCCGCGUGCCCUCCGAGCUUGAGGACCUUCCACUGAGCUGUACCUCACUGAAGAUCCCCUGCCCCAGGCUCAAGUCAGAGAGAGAGGAGGCCACAGUGCUGGAAUUCCAGCUGGGCAUCCGUCCCAGCUCUGCGCCGAGUGCGUUCAGCCCCGGCUGGAGCUUGCAGACUGCAGCCCUGCAGGAACCCACCAGGACUGACUCCUUCCUCCCCAGAUCCCACAGAAAAACAGUGGAUCUCCACUCGGCACGUGUCCCCUCCACGUUCACAUGAAGUGUCUUUUAGCGGAAAGUGUAUAAACGCGUUAAUUUUGGUUACUGCACUGAAGUGAGGCAAGUUCCUGCAGCUUUAUUAAAUGACCAGUGCUGUCA